rnacentral:rRNA from 1 species
CAGUAGCCGCGGUAAUACGGAGGGUGCAAGCGUUACUCGGAAUCACUGGGCGUAAAGGACGCGUAGGCGGAUUAUCAAGUCUCUUGUGAAAUCUAACGGCUUAACCGUUAAACUGCUUGGGAAACUGAUAAUCUGGAGUAAGGGAGAGGCAGAUGGAAUUCAUGGUGUAGGGGUAAAAUCCGUAGAUAUCAAGAAGAAUACCUAUUGCGAAGGCGAUCUGCUGGAACUUAACUGACGCUAAUGCGUGAAAGCGUGGGGAGCAAAUGGGAUUAGAGACCCGUGUAGUCCCUGUCUCUUAUAC